rnacentral:rRNA from 1 species
AACGCGAAGAACCUUACCCGGGCUCGAACGGCAGGGGAAUAUGCGAGAGAUUGCAUAGUCUUCGGACUCCUGUCGAGGUGCUGCAUGGUUGUCGUCAGCUCGUGCUGUGAAGUGUCGGCUUAAGUGCCAUAACGAGCGCAACCCUUGCCGCUAGUUACCAUCAAGUGAAGUUGGGGACUCUAGCGGGACUGCCACCGCAAGGUGUGAGGAAGGGGGGGAUGACGUCAAAUCAGCACGGCCCUUGCGUCCGGGGCGACACACGUGUUACAAUGGUGGGUACAGAGGGAGGCUACCUGGUGGCAGGAUGCAAAUCUCGAAAACCCAUCCCAGUUCGGACUGGAGUCUGCAACUCGACUCCACGAAGUUGGAUUCGCUAGUAAUCGCGCAUCAGCCAUGGCGCGGUGAAUACGUUCCCGGGUCUUGUACACACGC